rfam:Macrostomum lignano uti_cns_0010632, whole genome shotgun sequence.
GCCUCCAUAGCUCAGUGGCUAGAGCACUGGUCUUGUAAACCAGGAGUCGGGAGUUCGAUCCUCCCUGGGGGCA